rnacentral:rRNA from 1 species
AGAUUAAGUUAUUAAGGGCGCACGGUGGAUGCCUUGGCACUAGAAGCCGAUGAAGGACGUUACUAACGACGAUAUGCUUUGGGGAGCUGUAAGUAAGCUUUGAUCCAGAGAUUUCCGAAUGGGGAAACCCAGCAUGAGUUAUGUCAUGUUAUCGAUAUGUGAAUACAUAGCAUAUCAGAAGGCACACCCGGAGAACUGAAACAUCUUAGUACCCGGAGGAAGAGAAAGAAAAUUCGAUUCCCUUAGUAGCGGCGAGCGAAACGGGAAGAGCCCAAACCAACAAGCUUGCUUGUUGGGGUUGUAGGACACUCUGUACGGAGUUACAAAGGACGACAUUAGACGAAUCAUCUGGAAAGAUGAAUCAAAGAAGGUAAUAAUCCUGUAGUCGAAAAUGUUGUCUCUCUUGAGUGGAUCCUGAGUACGACGGAGCACGUGAAAUUCCGUCGGAAUCUGGGAGGACCAUCUCCUAAGGCUAAAUACUCUCUAGUG